UGAGUAAGACGUAUCCAACCUGCCGUCUACUCUUGGACAGCCUUCUGAAAGGAAGAUUAAUACAAGAUGGCAUCAUGAGUCCGCAUGUUCACAUGAUUAAAGGUAUUCCGGUAGACGAUGGGGAUGCGUUCCAUUAGAUAGUAGGCGGGGUAACGGCCCACCUAGUCUUCGAUGGAUAGGGGUUCUGAGAGGAAGGUCCCCCACAUUGGAACUGAGACACGGUCCAA
rnacentral:rRNA from 1 species